rnacentral:lncRNA from 1 species
AGAGAUGUUGAGAGAUCAACCAGGAGACUGUGGGAGGAUGUGAGCUCUCUGAGGUGAGGACAGUCUGUUCUGAAGGUCUACACAUUAAUGCUUCCUAUUGGGAAUUCAAAUCGGCAAUUUGUUCUUCUUCUGGUUGUUUGAAUCUUCAAAAUAGAGGGAAGACACCUGGAUGAAACAUUUUCACAGACUCUGCAAUUCCCUUAAGAGGAUCCCAGAGCCCUUAAGCUUCUCUUAGAUUCCUCUGAUUUUUUUCAGCCCAAGGACUGUUACCACAUGUCUUCCAUCUUGCCCACAAUUUUAGCAGAUCAUCAGGAUACUUGCCAACAAGGUCACAGUGGACUCCAUGGAGCAACUGCCCUCAGGAGGCAACAGAUGGCUUCACUUGCUUAUUGGCUGAAGGUCUGCAAGGACUCAAUUCACAUAUCUGAUCAUACCUGGAGUCCAGACUUUCUCCUGAUGCCUGACCCCUUUGCCAUUAGGUCGGCUCCGUAUGACUGAGUUCUAGCCAGUGAGGUAUGGGCAGAAGUGAUGUGUACCAAUUGCGAGCUCGACUUUUGAAAUCAUCCCACGUGAUCCUCCUGCCAUCUACCAGCCAUCCUUUUUGAUCUUGAAGGUCUUAUGCCUCAGAUUGUGUAACUACAGGAUGAAGGAAGGCCACUCAACCCACACUUGGACAUGAUGUCACAGUGUUUGGACACCGCAUGAACAUGCCAAUUUCCUGUGUUGUAAUAUUUUUAUGCACUUUAAGAAGACCACCAGAAACAGCAGAGUGAGUGAAUGACUGAGGCGCAUAUUGGACAAAAAUCACUUAUCCAAGACCACGUUACUACAACCCCAGGGCACAGAAGCUAAGUCUUCCUAUUGUACUGAACUCAGUUGACUGGAAUUUGUUCAGGAAAGCAUGAAGUCAAAUGGAAGCUAGUCCGUGACUGGAUUCAUCUUUUGGUAAAAAACGAAGAGGAGACCCCAUAUCCUGGAGGUUCUUGCUUAACCCUGUCCCUAAUAAGACCUAACUUUAUGAGUCUUCUCCUUAGAGGCAGUCCUAGGGUAAGAGUGAUUAUUCCUGUGAGCCUUGUAGGUACUUUCGAAUCAAGGAAAUUAGUAGUUGAUUGCUAAUUAAUUCAGUAUUUAAUGAAUUUAAGUACCUAGGCAAUGAGGCCACAAUAGCAAAUAAGACACAGACCUGUUUUCAAAAAGUAGCCUGUAAAUAAGAUAUUUUUUUCUGCCAUGGUGGCAAAGGCAUGACUAUGGUGAUGAACAUUCAUAGGCUCACCUUCUAGCUCUGUUGUAUGUUAACUGUGUGAACUUGGGUCAAGUUAUGAAAACUCUAAGAACUCUCAAAACUCCUGAUCUGUUUUAACAUGAAAGUAAAGAUAUCUAAUUGAAUUGUUGUGAAACUUAAAUGUAAUGUGACAUCCAAAGAAUGUAGCCCAAAGUUGGAUUUCAGUAAGUGAUAAAUAGAAGUAUUUAAACAUGGGUAUGGUAUGUUCUGUAACAGAAGAAUGUCUAUGUGCUGGGGAUACCUAGAGACAGUGAAAAUUCUGUCUGGCCUGCGAAUUAUAAUAAAAUGACUCUUUAAAGUCAA